rnacentral:rRNA from 1 species
AUUGAACGCUGGCGGCAUGCCUAACACAUGCAAGUCGAACGGCAGCACAGUAUGUAGCAAUACAUAUGGGUGGCGAGUGGCGGACGGGUGAGUAACGCGUGGGAAUCUGCCCUAUAGUGGGGGACAACCCGACGAAAGUCGGGCUAAUACCGCAUACGCCCUACGGGGGAAAGGCUUCGGCCGCUAUUGGAUGAGCCCGCGUCGGAUUAGCUAGUUGGUGAGGUAAUGGCUCACCAAGGCGACGAUCCGUAGCUGGUCUGAGAGGACGAUCAGCCACACUGGGACUGAGACACGGCCCAGACUCCUACGGGAGGCAGCAGUGGGGGAAUAUUGCACAAUGGGCGAAAGCCUGAUGCAGCAAUG